rnacentral:snoRNA from 13 species
GUCCACAGCUACUGGUCUGCAGCUGCUGUCAAUCGUAGCAGCUGUGGCAUUCCACUGUGGGAAAGGAAGUGUUACACAGUUAAAUACCUCUUUCUUAUCCAAGAAGAAAGUGGGCAUGUGUGUGACAGACAGUG